AUUAAUGUACAUCACAUUUUGAACGACGCGGUGUUUCACAGCUGCAGGAAAUGCGGUCGUUCGCGCUAACAGCUAAACAUCAAUCAGCUUAAUGUCUUCAGUCUUAACUGGCCCCAGCAAAAUUUUAUGUGAACCUUUUCAAAUAUGUAAAACCUAUGAACAUAACUGUGAAUGUUAUGUUAUUUAAGCACGUAGUUGUUUUAUAAAACCUGCUCUACUGGUCAGCCAUUACUGAGCCCAUAUUAGGGAAGUGACACCUUCAUUAAUAACGAAUAUAUUUCCCCGGCAUAGAAAGUUGGGUUACGUCAUCCAUAUCAAUGCCGCGUGUCAAGGGCUGCGAUGAAGAGAAAACAGGAAGGACAGUUAAUCUAACUUUAAUUAUCAUUCCCCUGGUGCCAGGUUGUAAUUUUUGUGCAGGUUAAAGCCUGUGUCCGAUCACAGACGGUGGAACUGCACAUGCGCAGAAAGGCUCGACAGCAAGUCUCCAGAGGCAGCUCAACUCGUCAGAACAACCCAAUGCUGCGCUGUCGCUGGCAGGGAGCUUCAGUUCACGCGAAAGCUGCGUCACGCAUCUAGCUAUAUGAAGAUGGAGUACAUCCAGACGGAAUCGACCUCCAGUGUCCAGAUAGCUGUUUUAAACGACGAUGACCUCAAGAUACGGGAUGAGUUUCUCCUAAUUGCACGGACAGCGACGGGCAUCUAAGUGGGUCAGGACACGUCUGUGGUGGCGUCCUAGCAUAUCGAUACACCCCUACUUCUGGGCCACCGUCAUGUGUCUGAAGGUGUUACAUUCCAGCAGAUUCACUGCUGGUGCUCCGAUGAUGUCACAUGACCAGUGGAGUACAGGACGAGCAGUGGUCAGCCAAACCAAAAACACAGCUACCACAUCUACCAUCGUUGGACUUUUGAUAUCUUAGUUCCGAAUGCACUGCAAAUCAAGCAGACCAAAUGAUGUUUUUAGAUGUUUCUGAAACUAUUCACAGCAGAUAAAAUACUAAAGUCACACAUCUGCUGGUCAUACAUCUGCGUGAAUACUUCUGAAUAUGGCCGCUACAGAUUUAUGUGUCUGUGUGCAGUUUGAUGUAUAAAACAGGAUGUUUUUUGUGAUAUAUGUAUACAUACAUGUCUGCUGGCUAUCUCACCUCAGACUCCGGAUUACUUGAAGUUUAUAUUCCAAACUCGCAGCCCCUGCGAGGCAGACCGAGAGCUAAAAUCCCACUGAAUUUUUUCAUGAGUCGAAAAAUCGUACAGCGGUGUUGGAGAUUUAGCCGGGAUUGUGCAUCGCCAGGGGCUGCUUUUGCUGAUACAUGCAUAGCUGCUUAGCUGAGCACCCCUGUGACCCGCUGGUUAUGACAGCGUGUCCCCACCUGGCGCUACGUGUCAGUGUGAUUGGUUAGCACGCUGUACUGUUGAACCUGCAGGUGGUCAAAUCUAUAAAGGACUAGUCUUUGGUGUCUGACCCUGCAGGCUUUUUGUCUGAAUUAGGUCCUUGUCCUCCUGAGUCCAUAACCUGAGAAGCCUGUGAGAAAGUCCCAGCCUCACGCCCAGCUCCUAUACAUUUAAUCUGAUGAGCAGGCAAAGAAAAUCACCUCCCCAUCUAAGUCAAACUAGCUAUUCGCGGCCGUACGUCAAUCACCUAUACUAAUAAUAACUGUUCCUCUCUUUCAGGUUUUUGAUAAAUUGACUUUCCUGUUGAAUAAAAAAGUGCUAACAUUUGUGUUUGUAGAGUGUUCAGCCCUGUACCUCCUACCCUAUGACUGUUCUGUGUUUCUAGAAUGUUCUUGUCCUGUACCUCCUACCCUAUGACUGUUCUGUGUUUGUAGAAUGUUCUGUCCUGUACCUCCUACCCUAUGACUGUUCUGUGUUUGUAGAAUGUUCUUGUCCUGUACCUCCUACCCUAUGACUGUUCUGUGUUUGUAGAAUGUUCUGUCCUGUACCUCCUACCCUAUGACUGUUCUGUGUUUGUAGAAUGUUCUUGUCCUGUACCUCCUACCCUAUGACUGUUCUGUGUUUGUAGAAUGUUCUGUCCUGUACCUCCUACCCUAUGACUGUUCUGUGUUUGUAGAAUGUUCUGUCCUGUACCUCCUACCCUAUGACUGUUCUGUGUUUGUAGAAUGUUCUUGUCCUGUACCUCCUACCCUAUGACUGUUCUGUGUUUGUAGAAUGUUCUGUCCUGUACCUCCUACCCUAUGACUGUUCUGUGUUUGUAGAAUGUUCUUGUCCUGUACCUCCUACCCUAUGACUGUUCUGUGUUUGUAGAAUGUUCUGUCCUGUACCUCCUACCCUAUGACUGUUCUGUGUUUGUAGAAUGUUCUGUCCUGUACCUCCUACCCUAUGACUGUUCUGUGUUUGUAGAAUGUUCUGUCCUGUACCUCCUAACCUGUGACCCAUCUCCGUUUAUAGAGUGUUUCUUCUUUUCAAUGAGAUCUUUACUCCACGUAGGCAGAUCUGACUGCAGAAGUUGACAUGCUGAUCUCUUCCAGGACAACCAGAUCUGAAGUGAUCGCUGUGACUACCCAUACGACACCGUCUGUCUAACCUUGUCUCUGUGACCGCUGUGGUUUCAUCCUAACAAUAGACUUCCAGUUAUAGGUCAUUAAUGCGAUUCGGUGUCAGUUAGCCCUGUUUGGUAUAUGCAAAUAUGGUAAACAAAGUACAUGAUGCAGUUUAUAGACGCCGCAGAUGAUGUAAUUUCAAGUGGCUUUUCUAGUUCAAAAUACAUUUAAAAUAUUUAAAAAUAUAUAUCUGUAUA